rnacentral:rRNA from 1 species
UACAGAGGUCUCGAGCGUUAUGCGGAAUCACUGGGCUUAAAGCGUGUGUAGGUGGAUCGUUAAGUACCUUGUGAAAUCCCACGGCUUAACCGGGGAACUGCGUCUGAUACUGGCGAGCUUGAGUGCAGGAGAGGAACGCGGAAUUCCAGGUGUAGCGGUGAAAUGCGUAGAUAUCUGGAGGAACACCGGUGGCGAAGGCGGCGUUCUGGACUGCAACUGACACUGAUGAACGAAAGCCAGGGGAGCAAACGGG